rnacentral:rRNA from 1 species
GAUGAACGCUGGCGGCGUGCCUAAUACAUGCAAGUCGAGCGAACAGACGAGGAGUUUGCUCCUCUGACGUUAGCGGCGGACGGGUGAGUAACACGUGGAUAACCUACCUAUAAGACUGGGAUAACUUCGGGAAACCGGAGCUAAUACCGGAUAAUAUAUUGAACCGCAUGGUCCAAUAGUGAAAGACGGUUUUGCUGUCACUUAUAGAUGGAUCCGCGCCGCAUUAGCUAGUUGGUAAGGUAACGGCUUACCAAGGCGACGAUGCGGAGCCGACCUGAGAGGGUCGUCGGCCCCACUGGAACUGAGGCGCGGUCCAGGCUCCUACGCGAGGCAGCGGUACGGAAUCUUCCGCAAUGGGCGAAAGCCUGGCGGGACAACGCCGCGUGAGUGAUGAAGGUCUUCGGAUCGUAAAACUCUGUUAUUAGGGAAAAACAAAUGUGUAAGUAACUAUGCACGUCUUGACGGUACCUAAUCAGAAAGCCACGGCUAACUACGUG